UACGAAGGGGGCUAGCGUUGCUCGGAAUCACUGGGCGUAAAGCGCACGUAGGCGGAUCUUUAAGUCAGGGGUGAAAUCCUGGAGCUCAACUCCAGAACUGCCUUUGAUACUGGGGAUCUCGAGUCCGGAAGAGGUGAGUGGAACUCCGAGUGUAGAGGUGAAAUUCGUAGAUAUUCGGAAGAACACCAGAGGCGAAGGCGGCCUACUGGGCUGCACCUGACGCUGAGCCGCGAAAGCCAGGGGAGCGAACGGG
rnacentral:rRNA from 1 species